rnacentral:lncRNA from 1 species
GUGUGGCUGAUCAAAGAAAGAAGGCAUACGCAGAUUUCUACAGAAACUACGAUGUCAUGAAAGAUUUUGAGGAGAUGAGGAAGGCUGGUAUCUUUCAGAGUGUAAAGUAAUCUUGGAAUAUAAAAAUUUCUUCAGGUUGAAUUACCUAGAAGUUUGUCACUGACUUGUGUUCCUGAACUAUGACACAUGAAUAUGUGGGCUAAGAAAUAGUUCCUCUUGAUAAAUAAACAAUUAACAAAUACUUUGGACAGUAAGUCU